rnacentral:rRNA from 1 species
UACGUAGGGGGCGAGCGUUGUCCGGAAUUAUUGGGCGUAAAGAGCUCGUAGGCGGCCUGUUGCGUCCGCUGUGAAAACCCGGGGCUUAACCCCGGGCUUGCAGUGGAUACGGGCAGGCUGGAGGCAGGCAGGGGAGAACGGAAUUCCCGGUGUAGCGGUGAAAUGCGCAGAUAUCGGGAGGAACACCGGUGGCGAAGGCGGCAUCCUGGACUGGUACUGACGCUCAGGAGCGAAAGCGUGGGGAGCGAGUCCGG